rfam:Camelus ferus unplaced genomic scaffold scaffold841, whole genome shotgun sequence.
UGUGCACACCUGAACCACAGCCGCGCUGCUUGUGAGCGCUUGGCUGAGGGCGCAGGAGGCACUUGGCUAACCCAAAGUGACAUGUGCCUGGCGGGACAUUCCGUCUGUACAAA